CCUACCAAGGCGACGAUCUGUAGCUGGUCUGAGAGGACGACCAGCCACACUGGGACUGAGACACGGCCCAGACUCCUACGGGAGGCAGCAGUGGGGAAUUUUGGACAAUGGGGGAAACCCUGAUCCAGCAAUGCCGCGUGUGUGAAGAAGGCCUUCGGGUUGUAAAGCACUUUUGUCCGGAAAGAAAACUUCUGCCCUAAUACGGUGGGAGGAUGACGGUACCGGAAGAAUAAGCACCGGCUAACUACGUGCCAGCAGCCGCGGUAAUACGUAGGGUGCGAGCGUUAAUCGGAAUUACUGGGCGUAAAGCGUGCGCAGGCGGUUCGUUAAGACAGAUGUGAAAUCCCCGGGCUUAACCUGGGAACUGCAUUUGUGACUGGCGAGCUAGAGUAUGGCAGAGGGGGGUAGAAUUCCACGUGUAGCAGUGAAAUGCGUAGAGAUGUGGAGGAAUACCGA
rnacentral:rRNA from 1 species